UACGUAGGGUGCAAGCGUUAUCCGGAAUCACUGGGCGUAAAGCGUGCGUAGGUGGUGAGUUAAGUCUGUCGUGAAAGCCCCGGGCUCAACCUGGGAAUGGCGAUGGAUACUGGCUCGCUAGAGUGCGGUAGAGGAGAGUGGAAUUCCCGGUGUAGCAGUGAAAUGCGUAGAGAUCGGGAGGAACAUCAGUUGCGAAGGCGGCUCUCUGGACCAGCACUGACACUGAGGCACGAAAGCGUGGGGAGCAAACAGG
rnacentral:rRNA from 1 species